CACUGACUUUCAACUCCCUCUAAAGAUUUUCUAUGGGGUUGAGAUCAGGAGACUGGUAGGCCACUCCAGGACCUUGAAAUGCUUCUUACGAAGCCACUCCUUUGUUUCCCGGGCGGUGUGUUUGGGAUCAUUGUCAUGCUGAAAGACCCAGCCAUGUUUCAUCUUCAAUGCCCUUGCUGAUGGAAGGAGGUUUUCACUCAAAAUCUCACGAUACAUGGCCCCAUUCAUUCUUUCCUUUACACGGAUCAGUCGUCCUGGUCCCUUUGCAGAAAAACAACCACAAAGCAUGCUGUUUCCACCCCCAUGCUUCACAGUAGGUAUGGUGUUCUUUGGAUGCAACUCAGCAUUCUUUGCCCUCCAAACACGACGAGUUGAGUUUUUACCAAAAAGUUAUAUUUUGGUUUCAUCUGACCAUAUGACAUUCUCCCAAUCCUCUUCUGGAUCAUCCAAAUGCUCUCUAGCAAACGUCAGACGGGCCAGGACAUAUACUGGCUUAAGCAGGGGGACACGUCUGGCACUGCAGGAUUUGAGUCCCUGGCGGCGUAGUGUGUUACUGAUGGUAGGCUUUGUUACUUUGGUCCCAGCUCUCUGCAGGUCAUUCACUAGGUCCCCCCGUGUGGUUCUGGGAUUUUUGCUCACCGUUCUUGUGAUCAUUUUGACCCCACGGGGUGAGAUCUUGUGUGGAGCCCCAGAUCGAGGGCGAUUAUCAGUGGCCUUGUAUGUCUUCCAUUUCCUAAUAAUUGCUCCCACAGUUGAUUUCUUCAAACCAAGCUGCUUACCUAUUGCAGAUUCAGUCUUCCCAGCCUGGUGCAGGUCUACAAUUGUGUUUCUGGUGUCCUUUGACAGCUCUUUGGUCUUGGCCAUAGUGGAUUUGGAGUGUGACUGUUUGAGGUUGUGGACAGGUGUCUUUUAUACUGAUAACAAGUUCAAACAGGUGCCAUUAAUACAGGUAACGAGUGGAGGACAGAGGAGCCUCUUAAAGAAGAAGUUACAGGUCUGUGAGAGCCAGAAAUCUUGCUUGUUUGUAGGUGACCAAAUACUUAUUUUCCACCAUAAUUUGCAAAAAAAUUCAUUAAAUAUCCUACAAUGUGGUUUUCUGGAUUUCUUUUCUCAUUUUGUCUGUCAUAGCUGACGUGUACCUAUGAUGAAAAUUACAGGCCUCUCUCAUCUUUUUAGGUGGGAGAACUUGCACAAUUGGUGGCUGACUAAAUACUUUUCCCCACUGUAUUUCGCGCCACGCGAUUCCACUGGCUGUGGACUAGGGUGGGACGCAAACGUCCCACCUAGCCCACAGAAGUUAAGGCACAACCGGUAAAAGUGAACACAUAUC
rnacentral:lncRNA from 1 species